rnacentral:rRNA from 1 species
AGGACGAACGCUGGCGGCGUGCUUAACACAUGCAAGUCGAACGGUAAGGCCCCUUCGGGGGUACACGAGUGGCGAACGGGUGAGUAACACGUGGGUAAUCUGCCCAGCACUUCGGGAUAAGCCUGGGAAACUGGGUCUAAUACCGGAUAUGAACUCCUGCCGCAUGGUGGGGGUUGGAAAGUUUUUCGGUGCAGGAUGAGCCCGCGGCCUAUCAGCUUGUUGGUGGGGUAAUGGCCUACCAAGGCGACGACGGGUAGCCGGCCUGAGAGGGUGAUCGGCCACACUGGGACUGAGACACGGCCCAGACUCCUACGGGAGGCAGCAGUGGGGAAUAUGCACAAUGGGCGAAAGCCUGAUGCAGCGACGCCGCGUGGGGGAUGGACGGUCUUCGGAUUGUAAACCCUUUCAGUAGGGACGAAGCGCAAGUGACGUACUGCAGAAGAAGCACCGGCUAACACGUGCCAGCAGCCG